GAUGAACGCUGGCGGCGUGCCUAAUACAUGCAAGUCGAGCGAAAAGACGAGGAGUUUGCUCCUUUGCCGUUAGCGGGGGAGGGGUGGGAAACAGGUGGAAACCCUCCCUAAAAGACGGGGAAAAUUUGGGAAAACGGGAGAAAAUCCGGGAUAAUAUAUUGACCCACAGGGUUAAUUGGUAAAAGACGGUUUUGCGGUAACUACUGGAUGAAUCGCCGCCGCUUUGGCUAGUUGGUAAGGUAACGGCUUACAAAGGAAACGAUGCGUAGCCGACCUGAGGGGGGGAUCGGCCACACUGGAACUGAGACACGGUCCAGACUCCUACGGGAGGCAGCAGUAGGGAAUCUUCCGCAAUGGGCGAAAGCCUGACGGAGCAACGCCGCGUGAGUGAUGAAGGUCUUCGGAUCGUAAAACUCUGUUAUUAGGGAAGAACAAAUGUGUAAGUAACUAUGCACGUCUUGACGGUACCUAAUCAGAAAGCCACGGCUAACUACGUG
rnacentral:rRNA from 1 species